GACGAACGCUGGCGGCGUGCUUAACACAUGCAAGUCGAACGAAGAGUGAUGGAAGCUUGCUUCUAUCAAUCUUAGUGGCGAACGGGUGAGUACCGCGUAAUCAACCUGCCCUUCAGAGGGGGCCAACAGUUGGAAACGACUGCUAAUACCGCAUACGAUCUACCCUCUGCCUCGUUGAUAGAUGAACGUUGGCCUCUACAUGUAACCUCUCACUGAAGGAGGGGCUUGCGUCUGAUUGGCUAGUUGGAGGGGUCACGGCCCUCCAAGGCGAUGAUCAGUAGCGGGUCAGAGAGGAGGAGCGGCGAAAUUGGGAUGGAGACACGGCCCAGAACACUAGGGGAGGCAGCAGGGGGGAAUCUUCCGGGAUGGACGAAAGGCGGACGGAGCAACGACGCGGGAGUGAUGACGGCCGUCGGGUUGUAAAGCUCAGGUAAUCGGGACGAAAGGCCUUCUUGCGAAUAGGGAGAAAGAUUGACGGUACCGGAAUAGAAAGCCACGGCUAACUACGUG
rnacentral:rRNA from 1 species